rnacentral:rRNA from 1 species
AUGCAAGUCGAACGAUGAACUCCAGCUUGCUGGGGGGUUAGUGGCGAACGGGUGAGUAACACGUGAGUAACCUGCCCUGGACUCUGGGAUAACCCCGAGAAAUCGGAGCUAAUACCGGAUAGGACCCUGGACCGCAUGGUUUGGGGUGGAAAGUUUUUCGGUCUGGGAUGGACUCGCGGCCUAUCAGCUUGUUGGUGAGGUAAUGGCUCACCAAGGCGUCGACGGGUAGCCGGCCUGAGAGGGUGACCGGCCACACUGGGACUGAGACACGGCCCAGACUCCUACGGGAGGCAGCAGUGGGGAAUAUUGCACAAUGGGCGCAAGCCUGAUGCAGCAACGCCGCGUGAGGGAUGACGGCCUUCGGGUUGUAAACCUCUUUUAGUAAGGAAGAAGGGAAGCUUGCUUCUUGACGGUACUUGCAGAAAAAGGACCGGCUAACUACGUGCCAGCAGCCGCGGUAAUACGUAGGGUCCGAGCGUUGUCCGGAAUUAUUGGGCGUAAAGAGCUCGUAGGCGGUUUGUCGCGUCUGCUGUGAAAUCCCGAGGCUCAACCUCGGGCCUGCAGUGGGUACGGGCAGACUUGAGUGCGGUAGGGGAGAAUGGAAUUCCUGGUGUAGCGGUGGAAUGCGCAGAUAUCAGGAGGAACACCGAUGGCGAAGGCAGUUCUCUGGGCCGUAACUGA